GAUAAACGCUGGCGGCGUGCCUAAUACAUGCAAGUCGAACGGAGGUUUGUAGCAAUACGGACCUUAGUGGCGAAUGGGUGAGUAACGCGUUGGUGACCUGCCCCGAAGAGGGGGAUAACAGCUCGAAAGGACUGUUAAUACCCCACGUGGUUACAGGGUUUAGAAGCCUGUAACUAAAGGAGCAAUGCGCUUUGGGAGGGACCUGCGUCCCAUCAGCUAGUUGGUAGGGUAACGGCCUGCCAAGGCUACGACGGGUAGGGGGCCUGAGAGGGUGGCCCCCCAACCUGGCACUGAAACACGGGCCAGACACCUACGGGUGGCAGCAGUAGGGAAUAUUGCACAAUGGGCGAAAGCCUGAUGCAGCAACGCCGCGUGCACGAUGAAGGCCUUCGGGUCGUAAAGUGCUUUUUGGGGAGACGAGGAAGGACGGUAUCCCUAGAAUAAGGAUCGGCUAACUACGUGCCAGCAGCCGCGGUAAAAC
rnacentral:rRNA from 1 species